UAUGAUGUUAGCCCCGGGGGAAGAGCUGGAGCAUGGAACGUUGGCACAGCAAGAAGUACAACAGCUGAACUGAGCACAUGGAAUUUUCAUACAUCUUCUUGCUUGAGGUUGUCAGAGAUGUGAGAAGAAGGGAGCCAAGGGACGAGCCAAGGGUGUUCAGAGCAUCUGAUGAGCUGUUUCUGCUUUGCCAGCCUUCUGUUUUCUCCUCUCCAUGGAGGAAGCCAUGGAGGCAUCUGACUCUUCCCAUCUACAGUCACAGCAGUCUUUAUGAGGUUGGCAGCUCCAGGAUCUGUGUGGCUGGAGACUGGCAAUUGUCUGUGAGAAGCAGGCAUAAAAUAUCAUCAGUCUCAAAAACAUGACCUAUGAGGAAAGGCUAAAGGAUCUGAAGAAGGAAAGCCUUUUUGAAAACAUUUGUUUUUAAAUACACAAAAUAUUUUGCUGUUAGGUGAAAUGGCCUCAUCAGUUCUCUGCAUUCAUUGCAGACCUGACAAGAAGUGAUGACUGAAACUCCAGCAACAGGAACAGUUUCCCUGCAAUGAGGAUGGCCACACAGUGAUGAAGUGAGGUGAUAGUAAUGUUACAUCUGGAAGUUCCAAGUUGGAGAUUAGGUCUUGCACUAAAACUCUACAAGUAUUGGAUGUGGCUGGCUGAGCCAGCAUUCUGCCUGGUCUCGCUGCUACCAUGAUGUUUUGGGGUUAUCCGUGAAGAAGUGAGAACAUUGGAUGCAGAUGGAUGUGCUCACAGCAGCUGAAGAAAACCUCAGAGGUGCAGAGCACAGGCCAGUGCAGGAUAAAGUGCCACCAUCACAAUCUGACCUUCACCACUUCUUGUUUUCUUGGCCCAUUCCUUUUUUAAUGCAUGGAGAAUCUUGGUCCUUGGUGCUUGAACCAUGGUCUCUUGGUGCUGAGUAGAGCUGGGCUGCAAGGAGAAAAUGGGACCUGGAGACUGAUGAAAGCAGGGAGCUGGAUGACUGAACAUCCCUGGUGCUGGAUACAGUGCAAAUAUCAAGAAAUGAGGAAACAAAUGCAGGUUUGAUGGAUCUUCCUCUAAAGUCAAUUAACAAACAAAUGCCUAUCCCACCUGCUUUUUGGAGUGGCUGAACCCACUUUUUAGGACUCAUGCACUGCAGUCAGGCACCUUUUUGAUGCUUCCAAAGGUGUGGCAGGCCCUGACUGGCCCCCAAGGCUGUAUCCACACUGCUCACCCUAUUUCUAUGUGUCAUUUAGCCUCUCCAUCCUUCAGAUUUUUUUCUUUUGUAUGUAUGUUUCCCAUUCAGAGCGCCCCAAUGAGGAAGGGCUGCUGAGUGGAGGUGUUACUGUAUGGCACUGGCAUGUCCCUUGGCAUGUCCCUUGGCAUGAAAACACCACCAAGGCUGUGAUUAUUUUGUGCACCUGAUGUGAGAGUCCGUACAGCCAUUCUUUGCUUUGACCAUUAACAAGGCCUGAUUUUAGUCCAAAACAAGCUUUCUUGAAACAAAAUAGUAAUUUUCCAGUCUUCCUGUGGAAGCCAAAAGUAUUUUAAGUUGGACUGGGCUGGCCUAAACACAGGGUGGGGAAGGAGUCAGUAGGUUUGGGACAUUUUAAUAAUGAAGAGAAGAAUGUGAAAGGAAGGAUUAAACAUGAUGUUUUAUGUGUAUUUAUUGAGUCAAUUUAUAAGGUGCCUUUUGCAAAAUAUCUUGAGCACUGCAUGGAAAACCACAAUGCAAAAUAUUUGAAAAAUCUGAACACGAAGCCAGCGUGUCCCAGCAUACAGCCAGGAAACAAAGGAGUUGGCACUGGGAGCAGUUCUCUAAUCACCAGGCCCCAGCAAAAGGAGAUCUAUGUCUGCAGGACAAGGGAGAGGCCAAUUAGAAGCCCAUUUCACCUGGCCAAGGCAAGAGCACAGAUGUUUGUGGCACAGUUUCUGUUAUGGGAUUUUCUCACUUGGAACUGAAGCAUGAGUUUUUGGCACGCUGCUGUGCUGAUGGCUUUUUCCUGUGAGAUGGCCAGAGCUGCCCCUCCAGCUGUGUGCCUCUGCGAAACCCUGCAGAGGGGCUGCCAAGUGCUCCCCAAAAUCUUCAUGAAGUCCAUGGGACACCUAUGUGGUGAGGAACACUAUAAAGGAUGCAUUGAACAAGAGCACUUUGAAGUCAUGGGUACUGGAAAAAUAUUCUG